rnacentral:rRNA from 1 species
UACAGAGGGGGCAAGCGUUGUUCGGAAUUACUGGGCGUAAAGCGUGCGCAGGCGGUCUUGCAAGACAGGUGUGAAAUCCCCGGGCUUAACCUGGGAACUGCACUUGUGACUGCAAGGCUGGAGUACGGCAGAGGGGGAUGGAAUUCCGCGUGUAGCAGUGAAAUGCGUAGAUAUGCGGAGGAACACCGAUGGCGAAGGCAAUCCCCUGGGCCUGUACUGACGCUCAUGCACGAAAGCGUGGGGAGCAAACAGG